rnacentral:rRNA from 1 species
CCCUUAGAUGUCCUGGGCUGCACGCGCGCUACACUGACACAUGCAACGAGUUUUUCCUUACCUGAAAGGGUUGGGUAAUCUCCUUGAAAGUGUGUCGUGAUGGGGAUAGAUUAUUGCAAUUAUUAAUCUUCAACGAGGAAUUCCUAGUAAGUGCAAGUCAUCAGCUUGCGCUGAUUACGUCCCUGCCCUUUGUACACACCGCCCGUCGCUCCUACCGAUUGAGUGCUCAGGUGAAUAAUUCGGACUGCAGCAAUGUUUGGAUCCCGAACGUUGCAGCGGAAAGUUUAGUGAACCUUAUCACUUAGAGGAAGGAGAAGUCGUAACA